rnacentral:rRNA from 1 species
CCUACGGGAGGCAGCAGUGGGGAAUAUUGGACAAUGGGCGAAAGCCUGAUCCAGCAAUUCCGCGUGUGUGAAGAAGGCCUUCGGGUUGUAAAGCACUUUAGUGGGGGAAGAAACAGCUUGGCCACACCAAGCCUUGACGGUACCCCAAGAAUAAGCACCGGCUAACUCUGUGCCAGCAGCCGCGGUAAUACAGAGGGUGCAAGCGUUAAUCGGAUUUACUGGGCGUAAAGGGUGCGUAGGCGGCUAUUUAAGUCGGAUGUGAAAGCCCGGGGCUCAACCUCGGAAUUGCAUUCGAUACUGAGUGGCUAGAGUUCGGUAGAGGGCGGCGGAAUUUCCGGUGUAGCGGUGAAAUGCGUAGAUAUCGGAAGGAACAUCAAUGGCGAAGGCAGCCGCCUGGGCCUGGACUGACACUGAGGCACGAAAGCGUGGGUAGCAAACAGGAUUAGAUACCCUGGUAGUCCACGCCGUAAACGAUGAGAACUUGACGUUGGUUCGUUUUACGAAUCGGUGUCGCNGCUACGUAGAUAAGUUCGUCCGUCCGUCGGGUAGGGUACGGGCCGGCCGACGGUUAGGUAACGUACGUAAAGGUUAAAGUUAGUACGGCGUUGAGACGUUGCCGACGGACGACGACGAGGGGAGGAGG